rnacentral:rRNA from 1 species
AACAUAGCUCCUGGUAGUUUUAUGGAGUUUUACCUGCCCGGUGUAAUAUUAUUAACGGCCGCGAAAGUGCUAAGGUAGCAUAAUAAUUUGUCUUUUCAUUGGAGACUAGUAUGAAAGGAAUAACGAAGCCCAGCUGUCUCUUCCUAAAUUUAAAAAUUUAUAAAAAAGUGAAAAAGCUUUUAUUUUAAUGAAGGACGAAAAGACCCUAUAGAGUUUUAGUAAAGUGAAAAAUUUAUUUUUUUAAAUACUUUUAUUGGGGCAAUAAUAGAUACUUAAAGUCUAUUGUGGGUAAGACCUAAAAUAGAAUUAAGAUAAACUACCUUAGGGAUAACAGCGUAAUCUCGCCAGAGAGAUCUUAUCGAAGGCGAGGUUUGCGACCUCGAUGUUGGACUAAGGGAACUUUUAUAUGUAGAAGUAUAGAGAUGUAAGCCUGUUCGGCUUUUAAAACCUUA